rnacentral:rRNA from 1 species
CCAAACCAGUAACCAGUACGGGCCUUGAGAGAGGGGGCCCGGAGAUGGACACUGAGAGAAGGGUCCAGGUCCUGUGGGGAGCAGCAGGCGCGAAACCUUCGCAAUGCGCGAAAGCGUGACGAGGUUAAUCCGAGUGGUUCCCGCUGAGGGAAUCUUUUGUCGGCUCUAAAAAGGCCGGCGAAUAAGGGGAGGGCAAGUCUGGUGUCAGCCGCCGCGGUAAUACCAGCUCCUCGAGUGGUCGGGGCGAUUAUUGGGCCUAAAGCAUCCGUAGCCGGUUCUGUAGGUCCUCUGUUAAAUCCAACGGCUUAACCGUUGGCCCGCAGAGGAUACCGCAGGACUAGGAGGCGGGAGAGGCAGACGGUACUCUACGUGUAGGGGUAAAAUCCUUUGAUCCGCAGAAGACCACCAGUGGCGAAGGCGGUCUGCCAGAACGCGCUCGACGGUGAGGGAUGAAAGCUGGGGGAGCGAACCGGAUUAGAUACCCGGGUAGUCCCAGCCGUAAACGAUGCGAGCUAGAUGAUUC